rnacentral:rRNA from 1 species
GUCUACAACCAUACCACCCUGAACACUCUUGAUCUCAUCUAAUCUCAGAAGGAACAUAGGGUCAGACCUGGUGAACAUUUGGAUGGGGACC